rnacentral:rRNA from 1 species
CACGUAGGGCGCAAGCGUUGUCCGGAAUUAUUGGGCGUAAAGAGCUCGUAGGCGGUCUGUUGCGUCCGCUGUGAAAACUCGGGGCUUAACCCCGAGCCUGCAGUGGAUACGGGCAGACUAGAGGUAGGUAGGGGAGAAUGGAAUUCCCGGUGUAGUGGUGAAAUGCGUAGAUAUCGGGAGGAACACCAGUGGCGAAGGCGACUUCCUGGCCUGUUCUUGACGCUGAGGCGCGAAAGCUAGGGUAGCAAACGGG